CGUUCCCGUCCCCAUUUGCGCGUGUCCUCGGAGCUGCCAGUAUGCCACAGAACUCCCUGCGAGGCGCUGGGGCCACCCUCAAGGGCGGUCUUGUUUGUGGUGGGUGUUUCUUCAGCUAAGAGCAAAGGAUGCAUCUUGGCCAUGCCUGGAAAUAAAGACAGUUCCUCAAGCCUUUGAGUCUGUAGCCUGAGAGACUGAGUUGGUGAUCUGUCUCUGGCAACAUGCAUAAGAAAACCCAUUCCAUGCUGCAAAAGGCUAUGAACAAUCAGAGGCCCAGUGGUUCCUCCUAAUAAUAUUGUGGUCAAAGACAUGAAAGCUACUUUAGAACAAAAGUCACCAGAAGUUUCUCUUGCAGCAAAGACCAAGCCUACAACCUGGAAAGUUAAAAUUAAAGAAGGUAAAGUCAAAAUUUAUUUCAGAGUUCUCAUAGCAUCUUAUGUGUAGAUUUAGCUUAUGUGUAGCUUCCACAGGCAUAACAAAAUAUUGUU